rnacentral:rRNA from 1 species
AUACGGAGGAUCCGAGCGUUAUCCGGAUUUAUUGGGUUUAAAGGGUGCGCAGGCGGCCAUUUAAGUCAGCGGUUAAAUCGUGGGGCUCAACCCCAUUCUGCCGUUGAUACUGGGUGGCUUGAUUGCGGUCGAGGUUGGCGGAAUUCGUUGUGUAGCGGUGAAAUGCAUAGAUAAGACGAAGAACACCGAUUGCGUAGGCAGCUGACCAGACCGCAAAUGACGCUCAUGCACGAAAGUGCGGGGAUCGAACAGGAUUAGAUACCCUGGUAGUCCGCACAGUAAACGAUGAAUACUUGUUUUCGGCGAUAUAAUGUCGGAGGCAAAGCGAAAGCGAUAAGUAUUCCACCUGGGGAGUACGCCGGCAACGGUGAAACUCAAAUGAAUUGGCGGGG